rnacentral:rRNA from 1 species
CCUACGGGAGGCAGCAGUGGGGAAUAUUGGACAAUGGGCGCAAGCCUGACCCAGCAACGCCGCGUGAAGGAAGAAGGCUUUCGGGUUGUAAACUUCUUUUAAGAGGGAAGAGCAGAAGACGGUACCUCUUAAAUAAGCCACGGCUAACUACGUGCGAGCACGCGUGGUAAUAAGUAGGUGGCAAGCGUUGUCCGGCUUUACUGGGUGUAAAGGGCGGGUAGCCGGGCUGAUAAGUCAGUUGUGAAAUUCCGGGGCUGAACCCCGGACCUGCAUUUGAAACUGUUGGUCUUGAGUAUCGGAGAGGCAGGCGGAAUUCCUAGUGUAGCGGUGAAAUGCGUAGAUAUAUGGAAGAACACCAGUGGCGAAGGCGGCUGUCUGGUCUGCAACUGACGCUGAGGCUCGAAAGCAUGGGUAGCGAACAGGAUUAGAUACCCUAGUAGUC